rnacentral:rRNA from 1 species
CCCUUAGAUGUUCGGGGCCGCACGCGCGCUACACUGAAGGACUCAGCGUGUCUCUCCCCCUAUCCCGCCAGGGAUGGGCAACCCGUUGCCCCUCCUUCGUGCUAGGGAUUGGGGUUUGCAAUUAUCCCCCAUGAACGAGGAAUUCCCAGUAAGCGCGAGUCAUCAGCUCGCGUUGAUUACGUCCCUGCCCUUUGUACACACCGCCCGUCGCUACUACCGAUUGGAUGGUUUAGUGAGACCCUCGGAUCGGUCCCGACUCGGGGUGGGCUUCUGCCCCGGUCGUGGUUUCGCCGAGAAGACGGUCAAACUUGACUAUCUAGAGGAAGUAAAAGUCGUAACA